rnacentral:lncRNA from 1 species
UGUAUAACGAGAGGAAUAAUUUUCAGUCUUAGUUUAAAUAGGCGCCCACCUGUAUAACGAGAGGAAUAAUUUUCAGUAUUAGUUUAAAUAGGCGCCCACCUGUAUAACGAGAGGAAUAUUUUCAUGUCUUAGUUUAAAUAGGCGCCCACCUGUAUAACGAGAGGAAUAAUUUUCAUGUCUUAGUUUAAAUAGGCGCCCACCUGUAUAACGAGAGGAAUACUUUUCAGUCUUAGUUUAAAUAGGCGCCCACCUGUAUAACGAGAGGAAUAAUUUUCAGUCUUAGUUUAAAUAGGAGCCCACCUGUAUAACGAGAGGAAUAAUUUUCAGUCUUAGUUUAAAUAGGUGCCCACCUGUAUAACGAGAGGAAUAUUUUCAUGUCUUAGUUAAAUAGGCGCCCUCCUGUAUAACGAGAGGAAUACUUUUCAUGUUUUAGU